rnacentral:rRNA from 1 species
GACGAACGCUGGCGGCGUGCUUAACACAUGCAAGUCGAACGGAAAGGCCCUGCUUUUGUGGGGUGCUCGAGUGGCGAACGGGUGAGUAACACGUGAGUAACCUGCCCUUGACUUUGGGAUAACUUCAGGAAACUGGGGCUAAUACCGGAUAGGAGCUCCUGCUGCAUGGUGGGGGUUGGAAAGUUUCGGCGGUUGGGGAUGGACUCGCGGCUUAUCAGCUUGUUGGUGGGGUAGUGGCUUACCAAGGCUUUGACGGGUAGCCGGCCUGAGAGGGUGACCGGGCACAUUGGGACUGAGGUACGGACCAGACUCCUACGGGAGGCAGCAGUGGGGAAUAUGGCACAAUGGGCGGAAGCCUGAUGCAGCAACGCCGCGUGCGGGAUGACGGCCUUCGGGUUGUAAACCGCUUUCGCCUGUGACGAAGCGUGAGUGACGGUAAUGGGUAAAGAAGCACCGGCUAACUACGUG